GAUGAAGAACGUAGCGAAAUGCGAUAAGUAGUGUGAAUUGCAGAAUUCAGUGAAUCAUCGAAUCUUUGAACGCACAUUGCGCCCCUUGGUAUUCCAUGGGGCAUGCCUGUUCGAGCGUCAUUUGUACCUUCAAGCUCUGCUUGGUGUUGGGUGUUUGUCUCGCCUCUGCGCGUAGACUCGCCUCAAAACAAUUGGCAGCCGGCGUAUUGAUUUCGGAGCGCAGUACAUCUCGCGCUUUGCACUCAUAACGACGACGUCCAAAAGUACAUUUUUACACUCUUGACCUCGGAUCAGGUAGGGAUACCCGAUGAACUUAAGCAUAUCAAUAAGCGGAGGA
rnacentral:misc_RNA from 1 species